rnacentral:rRNA from 1 species
AACGAACGCUGGCGGCAUGCCUAACACAUGCAAGUCGAACGAGACCUUCGGGUCUAGUGGCGCACGGGUGCGUAACGCGUGGGAACCUGCCCUUAGGUUCGGAAUAACUCCCCGAAAGGGGUGCUAAUACCGGAUAAUGUCUUCGGACCAAAGAUUUAUCGCCUUUGGAUGGGCCCGCGUUGGAUUAGCUAGUUGGUAGGGUAAAAGCCUACCAAGGCGACGAUCCAUAGCUGGUCUGAGAGGAUGAUCAGCCACACUGGGACUGAGACACGGCCCAGACUCCACCGGGAGGAGGAAGGGGGGAUAAUUGGACAAUGGGCGAAAGCUUGACCCAGCAUGGCGGGGUGAUUGUUGAAGGCUUUAGGUUGGAAAGGCUCUUUUACCCGGGAUGUUAUGACAGUACCGGGAGAAUAAGCUCCGGCUAACUCCGUG